rnacentral:rRNA from 3 species
GAACAUAAGAGUUUGAUCCUGGCUCAGAUUGAACGCUGGCGGCAUGCUUUACACAUGCAAGUCGGACGGCAGCACAGGGAAGCUUGCUUCUCGGGUGGCGAGUGGCGAACGGGUGAGUAACAUAUCGGAACGUACCGGGUAGCGGGGGAUAACUGAUCGAAAGAUCAGCUAAUACCGCAUACGUCUUGAGAGGGAAAGCAGGGGACCUUCGGGCCUUGCGCUAUCCGAGCGGCCGAUAUCUGAUUAGCUGGUUGGCGGGGUAAAGGCCCACCAAGGCGACGAUCAGUAGCGGGUCUGAGAGGAUGAUCCGCCACACUGGGACUGAGACACGGCCCAGACUCCUACGGGAGGCAGCAGUGGGGAAUUUUGGACAAUGGGCGCAAGCCUGAUCCAGCCAUGCCGCGUGUCUGAAGAAGGCCUUCGGGUUGUAAAGGACUUUUGUCAGGGAAGAAAAGGCCGUUGCCAAUAUCGGCGGCCGAUGACGGUACCUGAAGAAUAAGCACCGGCUAACUACGUGCCAGCAGCCGCGGUAAUACGUAGGGUGCGAGCGUUAAUCGGAAUUACUGGGCGUAAAGCGGGCGCAGACGGUUACUUAAGCAGGAUGUGAAAUCCCCGGGCUCAACCCGGGAACUGCGUUCUGAACUGGGUGACUCGAGUGUGUCAGAGGGAGGUGGAAUUCCACGUGUAGCAGUGAAAUGCGUAGAGAUGUGGAGGAAUACCGAUGGCGAAGGCAGCCUCCUGGGAUAACACUGACGUUCAUGUCCGAAAGCGUGGGUAGCAAACAGGAUUAGAUACCCUGGUAGUCCACGCCCUAAACGAUGUCAAUUAGCUGUUGGGCAACUUGAUUGCUUGGUAGCGUAGCUAACGCGUGAAAUUGACCGCCUGGGGAGUACGGUCGCAAGAUUAAAACUCAAAGGAAUUGACGGGGACCCGCACAAGCGGUGGAUGAUGUGGAUUAAUUCGAUGCAACGCGAAGAACCUUACCUGGUUUUGACAUGUGCGGAAUCCUCCGGAGACGGAGGAGUGCCUUCGGGAGCCGUAACACAGGUGCUGCAUGGCUGUCGUCAGCUCGUGUCGUGAGAUGUUGGGUUAAGUCCCGCAACGAGCGCAACCCUUGUCAUUAGUUGCCAUCAUUCGGUUGGGCACUCUAAUGAGACUGCCGGUGACAAGCCGGAGGAAGGUGGGGAUGACGUCAAGUCCUCAUGGCCCUUAUGACCAGGGCUUCACACGUCAUACAAUGGUCGGUACAGAGGGUAGCCAAGCCGCGAGGCGGAGCCAAUCUCACAAAACCGAUCGUAGUCCGGAUUGCACUCUGCAACUCGAGUGCAUGAAGUCGGAAUCGCUAGUAAUCGCAGGUCAGCAUACUGCGGUGAAUACGUUCCCGGGUCUUGUACACACCGCCCGUCACACCAUGGGAGUGGGGGAUACCAGAAGUAGGUAGGGUAACCGCAAGGAGCCCGCUUACCACGGUAUGCUUCAUGACUGGGGUGAAGUCGUAACAAGGUAGCCGUAGGGGAACCUGCGGCUGGAUCACCUCCUUU